rnacentral:rRNA from 1 species
ACGCUCGACACCUACGGGAGCAGCAGUGGGGAAUAUUGCACAAUGGGGGAAACCCUGAUGCAGCGACGCCGCGUGAAGGAAGAAGUAUCUCGGUAUGUAAACUUCUAUCAGCAGGGAAGAAAGUGACGGUACCUGACUAAGAAGCCCCGGCUAACUACGUGCCAGAAGCCGCGGUAAUCUGAGCGGGCUGGCAAGGC